GUUCAAGAGUACGUGAAACCGUUCAGGGGUAAACCUGAGAAACCCAAAAGAUCGAAUAGGGAGAUUCAUCGUCAGCAUGUCUCGUAUAUGUAUGAGUUAUGAUGCGAGUUACUUUUGUAUUGCUUGCACAUUCUUGUAUAUUUAAUUGCGGGAUAUGUCGGCGUGCACUUCUCCCUUAGUAGAACGUCGCAACCCGUUGAGUGUUGGUCUAUGACCCGAGUGAGAGUCUUCAGCGUUUUUAACAUUGAAGAUCCUUGGUGUUCUGAUUAACUGUUCGACGGUACUCGUAUGGUAUUAAGUCGCAUAUUUUAUGCGUCCAUGUCUGUCACAAGUGAGGUUAAUUUCUGGCAGUACGGACCUAGUGCCGUCGUUGGAUUUAACCAGCUGUUGGUUGACGGUAUUCUAGGACUGACUUAUUCCGGGUGGGGAUUCCUCCGGUUUGGGUACUUUCCAGACCCCUUUUGAAACCCGGACCAAGGAGUCUAACAUGUGCCCCAAUCAUUGGGAUUAUUUAAAAUAAACCUAAAGGCCCAAUGAAAGUAAAGGUU
rnacentral:rRNA from 1 species